rnacentral:misc_RNA from 1 species
AACGCACGAGACCUGCGGACCUGCGGAGGGAUCAUUACCGAGUGUUACAGCUCCCAAACCCACUGUGAACGUACCCAUCGUUGCUUCGGCGGGACCGCCCCGGCGCCUCCGCGCGCCGGGCACGGGCGCCCGCCGGGGGCCCGAAACUCUUGCCUCCUCGCGUGGAUUCUCUGAGUGGCACGAAAAGGGAAAAUGAAUCAAAACUUUCAACAAUGGAUCUCUAGAUCGGAAGAGCACACG